rnacentral:rRNA from 1 species
UAUCCUUACUAUCAUGCUGUUUCUCAUUUUACACAUGCAAGUCUCAGCACCCCAGUGAGAACGCCCUUUUAACCUACACCAGGAGAAGGAGCUGGCAUCAGGCACAAUCCCUGCCCAUAACACCUAGUCUCACCACACCCCCAAGGGUAAUCAGCAGUGAUAAAUCUUAAAUAUAAGCGACAGCUUGAUUUAGUUAGAGAAAAGAGGGCCGGCUAACCCGGUGCCAGCCGCCGCGGCUACACCGUGGGGCCCGAGCUGAUAGUCACCGGCGUUAAGCGUGAUUAAAGCCCUCAACAAUUAGGGUUAAAUUAAUAUUUAGUAGUGAUAAGCUUGUUAUUAAGAAAACCAUAAACGAAAGUUACCCUAAUUACACUUGAAUCCACGACAACUGGGAAAACAAACUGGGAUUAGAUAC